GAUGAACGCUGGCGGCGUGCCUAAUACAUGCAAGUCGAGCGAACAGACGAGGAGCUUGCUCCUCUGACGUUAGCGGCGGACGGGUGAGUAACACGUGGAUAACCUACCUAUAAGACUGGGAUAACUUCGGGAAACCGGAGCUAAUACCGGAUAAUAUAUUGAACCGCAUGGUUCAAUAGUGAAAGACGGUUUUGCUGUCACUUAUAGAUGGAUCCGCGCCGCAUUAGCUAGUUGGUAAGGUAACGGCUUACCAAGGCAACGAUGCGUAGCCGACCUGAGAGGGUGAUCGGCCACACUGAAACUGAGACACGGUCCAGACUCCUACGGGAGGCAGCAGUAGGGAAUCUUACGCAAUGGGCGAAAGCCUGACGGAGCAACGCCGCGUAAGUGAUGAAGGUCUUCUGAUCGUAAAACUCUGUUAUUAGGGAAGAACAAAUGUGUAAGUAACUAUGCACGUCUUGACGGUACCUAAUCAGAAAGCCACGGCUAACUACGUG
rnacentral:rRNA from 1 species